AACGCGGGUAACGUAUAACGAGCGGUUAGUAUAAACGGAGGAACGAAUAACGUGAGAUGUGUACAAUGAGCGGAACGGUUAAUGUGAGGUUUGUAGAAACGGAGGAAUGGAUAAUGAAACGUUUGUAUAAACGUAAGAACGGAAAACGAAACAUUUGUAUAAACGUAGGAACGGACAAUGAUACGUUUGAAUAAACGCGGGUAACGUAUAACGAGAGGUUAGUAUAAACGGAGGAACGAAUAACGUGAGAUGUGUACAAUGAGCGGAACGGUAAACGUGAGAGAAGUUGAGAGAUUUACAGGCUGUAACUCACCUAGAGCUCCUAUCAUUAUUGAGUGGUGAACCAGUUAUACGUCAUCCCCGGAGCGAGAGCUUAAAAAGAGAUGAAGCGAUUAAAAAUGCUUGGCUACUAUAUGAUAGCAACAUUUUAGAUAUACCGAAUUUCCUAGCUUAUGCUAGUUAUUUUCUAACACCAACAUAUCUACAAGAAAAUUUGAAUGAUAUGGACGGUAGAACAGACGACGAGGAAGAAAUUUCCGAAAUAGAAGGUAUCAUUCUUCGACCAAUGGAGGAGUACCUUAGGAUGGAAGUCUUCCAAGAAUUAAAUUUAAUUAUUGAAAAUGAAUAAAUUAUACUUUUAAUUUUAUAUCAAUAUAUGAAAAAAUAAAUCAAUUAUUUUCCUUAAAAAAAAAA